rnacentral:rRNA from 1 species
GUCCUAGCCCUAAACGGUGCAUGUUUGCUGUAAGAGGAAUCGACCCCUUUUGUGGCGAAGCUAACGCGUUAAACAUGCCGCCUGGGAAGUACGGCCGCAAGGUUAAAACUCAAAGAAAUUGACGGGGGCCUGCACAAGCGGUGGAGUAUGUGGCUUAAUUCGAUGCAACGCGAAGAACCUUACCUGGCCUUGACAUGCAAGUAGUAGAACUGUGAAAGCGGGACGAGGUAGCAAUACCAGCUUGCACAGGUGCUGCAUGGCUGUCGU